UUAAUGCAUGCUGAUAAGUGCAGGAGGCCUCUCCUCUUACACCCCGAGCGUUCUGCGAACAAUGGACAACUUCGAGCCAGGCAUGUUUCGGCCAGUGGCCCCUAGUCUGUCGGACAAAGAGGAAGAAAAAAACAGGAAUAAUACCGAAGAAGAGGAGAACACACAAGUCCUGGAGGAACCGGAGGAAGAUCAGGAAAUGCUAAAACCUGCAGAUCCUGACGUCAUUUCAUCCUGGUCUUUGUCGGCCGGAACUUCCGAUUUGCUGUUCUGAAGUUUUGCUCUAAGGUCUUCUCCGUCGAAGAUCCGGAAUAAUCCUGUGACGUCACCGGGUCACCGAAAUCUUGGCCGGAUGAUUCCGACACCGAGUGGAAUGAAGCCAACAUUUUGUGUGUGUGACAUUCCGUUACGGUUCCAAUGGCUGAUCGCUGCGCCUGCAGUCACCAUUUCAUACACAAAUCAUCGCAUUGUACAUUAUGGGCUAGGAUGCCCUUCUUUGCUUUGUAAUAAAACUUUCUUACAUUCUUA